CUGCCUUGAAUUUCCAUCAGGUUUUUAGGAACCCUACUUGCCUCGUUGCCGGCGAAAAAUCCUCUUAAUGGGGAUUUUAUCUAUUCCUCGCAGACAGUUAAUGGACAUUGCAUUCAUGAUUCAUGGUUAUCUUAAGAGUAAUGCCAGAUCCUUUGGAACUUUAUCAGGCCAACAGGAUUGCAGUUCUACUAUCUCUUCUAAACUGCUUUUAUUAAUGAGGCAAGGGAAAAUAUACAACUCAUAGUCAGGAACCUGCCAAAGAACUGCGAGCGUAUGUCUUCUGUUUCCAUGAUGACAGAUACUCUUCUUCUUAUGAAGUCAAAAGGAAUCUCAUCUAUCUUCCUCCACUUGGAUGGCUGAAACCU